rnacentral:siRNA from 1 species
GUCGUUAGCUCAAUUGGUAAAGAC